rnacentral:rRNA from 1 species
AUGGGAAGAAACCAGCCAACUUACCAAGAGGAAGAAAUGAUGACCACUUUUUGUAUUAUCUCGAAAGUUUUCAUUGGAUCUAGAAGUAAUCACAACGUCACUUUUCACCGGAGAUUUCAUGGUAGCUUUUGGAAACUUCAAUUGAUUAAUGAGGUCAGGAGACUCUAUAAUUCGAAUGAUAUGUGGAGAGAGCGGGGCGUCUUACCCGAAGAAAUCGAUACCAUGGUGUCGCAUAUACACGAAGGUUAUUCUUCAUUUCAUCCCAAAUUGGUAUACAAAACCUAUAAAUAUGGUAGGGGUGGUAUGACUUUGCAGGAACAUUUCACUCUGGAAAGGCAAGAUGAGCUUGGCUAUUGUUGUGCCAGGCACCCACUCAUCAAUGCUGGUGAUUGGCCUUGUAUGGCUGCGCCAUCUCUUCCAAUAGAUGUACUACUUUUUAAAGCGUUAGCUAAUAUCUUAAUGCGGGAGUUUCUAGUGAUAAGAAACAAUCUUCCGUCUAGAUUAUUUUAUUAUAAUGAAAUGUUGGAUUACCACCAAAGGUUCUAG